AGAGGUCUCAACCGUUGUUCGGAUUCAUUGGGCGUAAAGGGUGCGUAGGCGGCGGGGUAAGUCAGGUGUGAAAUCUCGGGGCUCAACCCCGAAACUGCACUUGAUACUGCCUUGCUCGAGUACUGGAGAGGAGACUGGAAUUUACGGUGUAGCAGUGAAAUGCGUAGAUAUCGUAAGGAAGACCAGUGGCGAAGGCGAGUCUCUGGACAGUUACUGACGCUGAGGCACGAAGGCCAGGGGAGCAAACGGGAUUAGAUACCCCGGUAGUCCUGGCAGUAAACGGUGCACGUUUGGUGUGGGAGGAUUCGACCCCUUCCGUGCCGGAGCUAACGCGUUAAACGUGCCGCCUGGGAAGUACGGUCGCAAGAUUA
rnacentral:rRNA from 1 species